GAGGCAAUGACUAGAGUGGCGAACUGGUGAGUAACACGUAAGAAACCUGCCCUUUAGUGGGGGAUAACAUUUGGAAACAGAUGCUAAUACCGCGUAACAACAAAUCACACAUGUGAUCUGUUUGAAAGGUCCUUUUGGAUCGCUAGAGGAUGGUCUUGCGGCGUAUUAGCUUGUUGGUAGGGUAGAAGCCUACCAAGGCAAUGAUGCGUAGCCGAGUUGAGAGACUGGCCGGCCACAUUGGGACUGAGACACUGCCCAAACUCCUACGGGAGGCUGCAGUAGGGAAUUUUCCGCAAUGCACGAAAGUGUGACGGAGCGACGCCGCGUGUGUGAUGAAGGCUUUCGGGUCGUAAAGCACUGUUGUAAGGGAAGAAUAACUGAAUUCAGAGAAAGUUUUCAGCUUGACGGUACCUUACCAGAAAGGGAUGGCUAAAUACGUGCCAGCAGCCGCGGUAAUACGUAUGUCCCGAGCGUUAUCCGGAUUUAUUGGGCGUAAAGCGAGCGCAGACGGUUUAUUAAGUCUGAUGUGAAAUCCCGAGGCCCAACCUCGGAACUGCAUUGGAAACUGAUUUACUUGAGUGCGAUAGAGGCAAGUGGAACUCCAUGUGUAGCGGUGAA
rnacentral:rRNA from 1 species